rnacentral:lncRNA from 1 species
GACUCACAACCAAAAGGGCCUGUCUGAACUUCAUAACGUCCACCCCGGGACCACAUUUGACUGUCUUCAUCCUGUGCGGAGAGCAUCCAUCGUCCGCCUUCUGCACGCAGCUGUAGCACUCCAGGGCUUGCGCUCCUGCGGGGGCCCCCGACUCUACCUUCCUGGCAACACACCCACCUUCACACAGCAGAAGCGGCAGCAGCAGCAGCCAUCCGGUGGUCCACAUCACUGGCUGUGUAUCUCCUCUCCUGGCGGCAUCCAUAGCUGUGUCCUGCUCUCUCCGCGUCCCCCCUGGGUGUGCCACCUUCCAACCCGGGCCCUCUUACCUGAGCCUCAGAUGAGUAACCUACCCCGGGGCAACCCUGGCCUUGCCCAACCAGGCCAACUCAGCGUCCGCUGUGGGGCGGGCCCGCCUCUAGGAACAAACAAGGUCAUUACACCGAUCACGCUGUGACUCCACAAGCCCACAUGCUGUUCCUAGGUCUUUGGCUCUGGCUGUCUCCUAGACAGGAUGUUGUGGCAUGAUGUAAGCCCAUAAUCCCAGCACUCAGAAGGCUGAAGCAAGAGGAUCACAUGUUCGAGACCAGUCUGGGCUACAAAAUGGUGGACCUUCGAGAUUGAUUAUAGGAUAAAAGUGCUUGCCACCAAGCCUGACAACCUGAGUUUGGUCCCCAGGACCCACAUCGUGGGAGAGAACACAUUGUCCUCUGACGUCCACGUGUGCCCAGAUGUACACACAAUAGCAAACAGUGCACUUUUUAAAAAGAGAGAAUAUACCAGUCCGUUUAUAAGCAGCCUCUUCAGAGAGGAGCACGGUGGCCAUUCCUCAGAGGAGGAAACUGAGUCCCAGAGAGAAAGCUACUCUUCUCCACAGGCCAGUGGAGGGUCCGUCAGCCCCAGCUAGCCAGAUUGGUGACUAUGAUAAGGAUGAGCAGCUGUGUUCAGAGAGAUCUCUGCUGCCCGGCCCCUGCCCAGCACCCCUGUUCCCAACAAUGACAAGCACCUCAGUCACCUAGGUGGGGUCACCUGUCAUCCAGGGAAGACUCAGAGGGAGAAAGUGAGCGAUUCUCGUGAUGUCAUUCAAACUUGGCUCGAGCUGCACUGCCUCCACCUCAGGAUCCCAGCCCUACAUCUUUGCUGUGUGACCCUCAAUAAAUGUUCUUCCCUCUCUGAGGCUCCAAGG